CUCUGGAGGGGAAUAAAUGAAGGCACUGCCCGGCAUGGGGUGCCUUGCUAAUCAGCUGCGCUUUGGCCACAAAACAAACACACCUGGGCGCGCCUACUUAGGAAAUUUCCUAUAAUUCAUUUUUGCAAAUAUGAAAAUUGUAAUUCAAGUAGUUCAAGUCAAUUUCUUAACAAAAGCGUUCAGAAGUUAAAAAUUCUUAACUGUAUGGGAAGACACGUUUCUUGUUUUGUACAUUAUAAAUACUAUUAUUGUGACCACCAGUGUAUUAAGGGUCCACAUGUAUUAUUUUCCUUGGUAUUUAUAGGUGCAAAAACAUUUGUUAAAUCACUAGUACAGGAUAGUGUAGAAAAGUGGUCGGCAUAUAGAUAUUAUCAUUUUCAAUCAACCGGUUUAAUUUCAAUUGCCGAAAACAAGAAUCGCUGAGAAGCACAAUUUCUUGAAUUACAACUCGUUUUCAACAUUUUUUGGAGUUAUUAGGUGGUUCGUGAACGAAACAAGAAUUACAUAAGGCACAAUAUUUGGCAUAUCCGAUAAAAAUCAAGAUAAAUCCUUACCAAACGCAGAGCUCCAAAGGAAGCCCACGGUUUUGUUAUUUGUUGAACGCCGCGAAGCGAGGAACGCUGCAAUAACGGUAUAAC